AAUGGUGCCUGGUCGAGUAGGUUGGACAAUGACUUGAACAUUUCCAUGUCAAUAGCCAAUCUUUUGAGUGUCGCUGGGCCGUCUGCUUUUGCUAUGCCCUUCAGUAGUAUGCGGAUGGGGUAUGAGGUUAAGAAACCUUUGUGGUUAGGGAAGGAGUAAUACAUGUGGUGUUGUAUACCCGUGAGGUAAAGCUUAAUAGUGU